rnacentral:rRNA from 1 species
ACAUGCAUACAACAUAACGUUAAUGCACUAGAUCCCAUUAAAAAUCCGCAGUUAAGCAUGUUCGGGCUAGAGUAGUAUUGGUAUGGCUGAUCACCUGGGAAUUCCUAGUGUUUUACAUGCC